rnacentral:rRNA from 1 species
UACGUAGGGGGCAAGCGUUGUCCGGAAUCAUUGGGCGUAAAGCGCGUGUAGGCGGCUCGAUAAGUCCGUUCUGAAAGUCCAGGGCUCAACCCUGGGAUGCGGAUGGAUACUGUCGGGCUCGAGUCCGGAAGAGGCGAGUGGAAUUCCCGGUGUAGUGGUGGAAUGCGUAGAUAUCAGGAGGAGCACCAGUGGCGAAGGCGGUUGCCUGGAGCUUUGCUGACGCUGAGGCGCGAAAGCGUGGGGAGCGAGCCGG